AUUGAACGCUGGCGGCAUGCUUUACACAUGCAAGUCGAACGGCAGCACGGGUGCUUGCACCUGGUGGCGAGUGGCGGACGGGUGAGUAAUACAUCGGAACGUAUCCAGAAGAGGGGGAUAACGCAUCGAAAGAUGUGCUAAUACCGCAUAUUCUCUGAGGAGGAAAGCAGGGGAUCGAAAGACCUUGCGCUUUGGGAGCGGCCGAUGUCUGAUUAGCUAGUUGGUGGGGUAAAGGCCUACCAAGGCGACGAUCAGUAGUUGGUCUGAGAGGACGACCAGCCACACUGGGACUGAGACACGGCCCAGACUCCUACGGGAGGCAGCAGUGGGGAAUUUUGGACAAUGGGCGCAAGCCUGAUCCAGCAAUGCCGCGUGAGUGAAGAAGGCCUC
rnacentral:rRNA from 1 species